GAAGGCCUUCGGGUUGUAAACUGCUUUUGUACGGAACGAAACGGCGAGCUCUAAUACAGUUUGCUAAUGACGGUACCGGAAGAAUAAGCACCGGCUAACUACGUGCCAGCAGCCGCGGUAAUACGUAGGGUGCGAGCGUUAAUCGGAAUUACUGGGCGUAAAGCGUGCGCAGGCGGUGAUGUAAGACAGAUGUGAAAUCCCCGGGCUCAACCUGGGACCUGCAUUUGUGACUGCAUCGCUAGAGUACGGCAGAGGGGGAUGGAAUUCCGCGUGUAGCAGUGAAAUGCGUAGAUAUGCGGAGGAACACCGAUGGCGAAGGCAAUCCCCUGGGCCUGUACUGACGCUCAUGCACGAAAGCGUGGGGAGCAAACAGGAUUAGAUACCCUGGUAGUCCACGCCCUAAACGAUGUCAACUGGUUGUUG
rnacentral:rRNA from 1 species